rnacentral:misc_RNA from 1 species
UGAUAGUAACCAUAAUUCUUCCUCUGGUGCGCCGCCGCCCAAAACUGUGGAUGAUGUGUGGAGGGAGAUUGUUUCUGGUGAGAGGAAGGAAUUGAAGGAGGAGGUUGCUGACGAGAUGAUAACCCUCGAGGAUUUUCUUUUGAAAUCUGGAGCUGUGCCUGUUGAGGAUGUUAAAUUGCCGCAGACAGAGAGGCUGAGUGGAG